rnacentral:tRNA from 1 species
GGGGUUUUAACUCAGAUGGCUAGAGUAUUAGUUUUGCACACUAAAAGUCAAGAGUU